rnacentral:tRNA from 1 species
GCGGGUGUGGCGGAAUUGGCAGACGCACUAGACUUAGGAUCUAGCGCCUCGUGCGUGGGGGUUCAAGUCCCUCCACCCGCACCA